CCCGAGCGCACAGUGGAGGACAGACAGCGGGCUCCGUGCAGAACAAAGAGGUUCUGUGGAGCAGCCCGAGCAGAGGGCAGCGCUGGGGAGGGAGCACUCAGAGAGAAAGGGAGCCCUCGGAGCGUGGGCCGGCCCGCCCGGAAGUGCAGCGCAGCGGCAUCGAAGGUCUCCCUAAGGCAGCGAGGAGCCAGCGGGUGGGGCGCCAGGAGGCUGGCACGACCCCUGGGAGGCAGGCCAGGGUCCUCUCCUUUCUGCUGCUGCUGCUGCUGCUGCUAAGUCACUUCAGACGUGUCCGACUCCGUGCGACCCCAGAGAUGGCAGCCCACCAGGCUCUCCCAUCCCUGGGAUUCUCCAGGAGACCUGGAGCUGAUCCCUGGGUUGGGAAAAUCCCCUGGAGGAGGAAAUGACAACCCACUGCAGUGCUCUUGCCUGGAGAAUCCCAUGGACAGAAGGGUCUGGCGGGCUACAGUCCACGGGGUCACAAAGAGUCAGACACGACUGAGCGACUUCACUUCACUUCACUUUCCCCUCUGGUGACCGGAAGUUUUUUUCCUAUGUCUGAAAAACUGCUCAAUUCAACAGUCACCUAAAAAUGAGUGGCCAGCCAGGUUUGUUGACCUCUGACCCAGGAGGUGGUUGCCCCAUCCAAGGGACCCC
ensembl:lncRNA